AGGGGCUGGAGAGAUGGCUCAGUGUUUA
rnacentral:piRNA from 1 species